GACAGAUUGAUGACGUUUUAUAUGUUCAUGUUCUUUCUCAAUAGUUCAAAAUCGAUGAUACCGCAACACUUUUUGAGUUUUAUCUCACAAAUCCAGCUGACACAAAAGAGCCAAAAACGUGACAGAGUGACUGAGAGAGAAAAUGACAGAAUGAAAAAGAGCGAACGAGAGAGAGAGAGAUAGAAGGGUUUGGAUGUACCUGCAAUAAUCCAUUCUCGAGCUAGAAAAAGUACCAACGCAUUCAUAUUGCCAGUGUAAUGUUUGAUGUGCUUUAAAGCACUUGUGAUCUUUUGAUGUGUUUUAUUCACUACUCUGCUGCUUAACUGGCUGUGUGAAAUUUUUUUUUUUCCAGCAGUCAUAAAAGAGCAAAAUAAAAAGCUUUAACCAAACACGCGCAACAACAAAACACGAAAAUAAAAAGUGCAGUGACAAUAUCCCCAAAAGGCACGUGAGGAAAGCCAGAUAGAAAGAGAAAUAAUAUCAAACUUCAAAGAAAACUUAUAAUAUGAUUUGUUUCAUUUGUCGCGCUCAGCCUUCGGCAGGCUAUAGUUUUGAUUCAUUCCAGAUGACUACAUUGCAUUAAUAUAGCAAAUUGGUAACAUUAAUGUUCCAGCUGAUGAAUUGUUAUGUUUUUCCUGUUGGAAUACAUUAUCAUCAUUGAGAGGACGAAUACUGGUCUUCAAAAGUGAACUACUGCCGCCAAAAAAUUACAGAUUGUGUUCUUUGUGCCGUAACAUCAUUCGGCCAGGCGAUCAUAGUUCUAAAACAUAGUUCCAGCUCGGUUGAUUUAAUUUAUAAAGCAAACAAAUGACAUCGAUGUUUCAACCACUGAUUUGUUAUGUGUCGCAUGUUGGAAAGAAUGUUGGUUGGCUUUGUAUGACCCAAAAACGUUGAUCGAAAAAACAGAGAUAGUUCAGAAGAUCCGAAAAAUUGAGAUGUGCGAAUUCGUCCGGAAAGAAGCCGUUGUCCAACUGAACACAAAAUUUACACCAUAAAUCCACUGGAUCAAUCAAAUCAUCCUAUCCCAAAUGUUAGAAUACCCACAUUAAGAAAAGCACAAGCAAAGCAAAGCAACAAAAACAAAAUCAAAAUCGUUCAUCUCAUAAAAUAACCAGAGCGUGUUAUGAGCUGAUGUCAGCAGCACUAACUAACGACAGCUGCUGAUAUCAGCUGCUGAUGAGUAUGUGAUGAGUUAUUGUAACGCAUCCACAGUACCAAAUUCAUAUUGCCCUCCAUAUUAAGAGAAAAAUUUAAGGUAAAACUGCCAGUUCCAUUGAAAAAGCUCUUUGAACACUCAUUGCCCAGAUGUACGAGUAGAGUCGGUCCAGAGCAUGUACGGGUUGAAAGUUAAAAAUGAACAUGACUUUUUAUGAGCGAAAAAAUGUUGAUAAAUAAAACCAUUUGAAUCGAAAAUUUGAUAGUGAAAAAUGAUAGCAAUUAACCCGCAGACGGGCAAGUCGGACCAAAGUGGACCCAUAGUUUAAUGGCUGUAAACGUGCCAUAUGCCGAUAAAAUUGAAUGAAAACCAACAGAGAUAUAAUACUCUGUUUUUUUUUUCCAAAUUUUGUGGUUUUCAAGUAGUACAUACAAUUUGACAUAUUAAGAGCUGAAUUUUGAGUAUACACCAUAGCUCCACUGAUGCUGAACUAAUUUUGUUAAAGCAUGGCACGUUUGAAAGAUGCAUCUUUCUACUUCCCCACUAUAUACUACUUUUUAUGAUACAUUGCUUUUUACACAGAAAAUAUUACCAAUUCUGAUGGAGAAAUGGCUAUUUUUUGCGGUUUUUGACAUUUGACGAAAAUUCAAAUGAAUAACAUGUCUCUGUAACUUUUCUAAGGUUCAUCCAAUUUUAUCGGUAUAUUGCGCGUUGGAAUGAUUCAUCUUUCUAGUUUUUGGAAUAAUACUACUUUGGAUGAUAUAUUAUGUAUUCCCAAUUUUACAGCCAUAAAACCAUGGUAUCCAGCAAAUCGAUUUAGCUCCACGGAGCGUCAUCUAAUGAUCGAUGUUCAAUUUUUUGUUUGUUGUAAUACGUGGAAAGAAUCGAAGAAUACAAUGCAGCACCUUUUCCGCACAAGAAUAUAGUUUUUAUAUAUAAUAUUUAUUGAAAAACUACCUUCUUGGACCACAACGGACCCACUUGCCCGGUUGAGAGUUAACACGUGCAAAAUUUUUCAAAGUAACUAAUUGGCUUAAUCAUUUGGUUGACGCUUACCAUCGUUCAAAUAACAAUUUUUUUGGUUGAUAAAUUUCACCGAAAAAAAAAACACGAAAGAGAUUAGAACAAAACAAAAACCAAUCCAUUUACUAAUGAUGAAAUAUUUAUUAUACUUUUCAUUUAGUUUAACAACAUAUAAUACAAUAUUUGGAUAAAUUCAUAAAAUCAUGACUCUCUAAAUAAAGUGCAAGUAGGACAUGUGCACAUUUUUUUUUACUUUUACUUUUCCUUGAAAAUGUCCUUCUCUGUUGUUGUUUGUUCAAAUUUUCAAUAAAAUAAAUCGUUCGUCACCAAA